rnacentral:rRNA from 1 species
AUUGAACGCUGGCGGCAGGCUUAACACAUGCAAGUCGAGCGGAGAUGAGGUGCUUGCACCUUAUCUUAGCGGCGGACGGGUGAGUAAUGCUUAGGAAUCUGCCUAUUAGUGGGGGACAACAUUCCGAAAGGAAUGCUAAUACCGCAUACGUCCUACGGGAGAAAGCAGGGGAUCUUCGGACCUUGCGCUAAUAGAUGAGCCUAAGUCGGAUUAGCUAGUUGGUGGGGUAAAGGCCUACCAAGGCGACGAUCUGUAGCGGGUCGUAGAGGAUGAUCCGCCACACUGGGACUGAGACACGGCCCAGACUCCUACGGGAGGCAGCAGUGGGGAAUAUUGGACAAUGGGGGGAACCCUGAUCCAGCCAUGCCGCGUGUGUGAAGAAGGCCUUAUGGUUGUAAAGCACUUUAAGCGAGUAGGAGGCUACUGAGACUAAUACUCUUGGAUAGUGGACGUUACCCGCAGAAUAAGCACCGGCUAACUCUGUGCCAGCAGCCGCCGUAACAC